GAUGAACGCUGGCGGCGUGCCUAAUACAUGCAAGUCGAGCGAACGGACGAGAAGCUUGCUUCUCUGAUGUUAGCGGCGGACGGGUGAGUAACACGUGGAUAACCUACCUAUAAGACUGGGAUAACUUCGGGAAACCGGAGCUAAUACCGGAUAAUAUUUUGAACCGCAUGGUUCAAAAGUGAAAGACGGUCUUGCUGUCACUUAUAGAUGGAUCCGCGCUGCAUUAGCUAGUUGGUAAGGUAACGGCUUACCAAGGCAACGAUGCAUAGCCGACCUGAGAGGGUGAUCGGCCACACUGGAACUGAGACACGGUCCAGACUCCUACGGGAGGCAGCAGUAGGGAAUCUUCCGCAAUGGGCGAAAGCCUGACGGAGCAACGCCGCGUGAGUGAUGAAGGUCUUCGGAUCGUAAAACUCUGUUAUUAGGGAAGAACAUAUGUGNUAGUAACUGUGCACAUCUUGACGGUACCCUAUCAGAAAGCCACGGCUAACUACGUGCCAGCAGCCGCGGUAAUACGUAGGUGGCAAGCGUUAUCCGGAAUUAUUGGGCGUUAAGCGCGCGUAGGCGGUUUUUUAAGUCUGAUGUGAAAGCCCACGCGCCUCAACCGUGGAGGGUCAUUGGAAACUGGAAAACUUGAGUGCAGAAGAGGAAAGUGGAAUUCCAUGUGUAGCGGUGAAAUGCGCAGAGAUAUGGAGGAACACCAGUGGCGAAGGCGACUUUCUGGUCUGUAACUGACGCUGAUGUGCGAAAGCGUGGGGAUCAAACAGGAUUAGAUACCCUGGUAGUCCACGCCGUAAACGAUGAGUGCUAAGUGUUAGGGGGUUUCCGCCCCUUAGUGCUGCAGCUAACGCAUUAAGCACUCCGCCUGGGGAGUACGACCGCAAGGUUGAAACUCAAAGGAAUUGACGGGGACCCGCACAAGCGGUGGAGCAUGUGGUUUAAUUCGAAGCAACGCGAAGAACCUUACCAAAUCUUGACAUCCUUUGACAACUCUAGAGAUAGAGCCUUCCCCUUCGGGGGACAAAGUGACAGGUGGUGCAUGGUUGUCGUCAGCUCGUGUCGUGAGAUGUUGGGUUAAGUCCCGCAACGAGCGCAACCCUUAAGCUUAGUUGCCAUCAUUAAGUUGGGCACUCUAAGUUGACUGCCGGUGACAAACCGGAGGAAGGUGGGGAUGACGUCAAAUCAUCAUGCCCCUUAUGAUUUGGGCUACACACGUGCUACAAUGGACAAUACAAAGGGCAGCGAAACCGCGAGGUCAAGCAAAUCCCAUAAAGUUGUUCUCAGUUCGGAUUGUAGUCUGCAACUCGACUACAUGAAGCUGGAAUCGCUAGUAAUCGUAGAUCAGCAUGCUACGGUGAAUACGUUCCCGGGUCU
rnacentral:rRNA from 1 species